rnacentral:lncRNA from 1 species
UCCUAUUCCCUUACAACUCCUAAUUCUUCUCUAAGAAAAAACCUCCUACAUGAAUGUCUCUCUCAAUUAGGACUCUCCUAACUAGAGUCCUAACAGAAUGUCCCUCUCAAUUAGGACUCUCCUAGCUAGAGUCCUAACAGAAUGUCCCUCUCAAUUAGGACUCUGCUAGCUAAAGUCCUAACAGUUUUACAUGAAUGUCCCUCUCAAUUAGGACUCUCCUAGCUAGAGUCCUAACAAACCCGCCCUCUUCAAAUCAGCCUUGUCCUCGAGGCUGACGAUUCAUGAAUUUUGAGAAUUUGAUCUUCAAGUCAUCAUAGUUCUCCAAAGUGGCAUCUUCUGUUAGUAGGUUUGCCCACUGUAUUAGCAAUUCAGUAGUGGAUCGUCGUCGUCGAGUCAUAAUCCGUCGAUCAAUAAUGGCAC